ensembl:lncRNA
AUAAAUAAUUAAGCUUGACUUCAAAUAAAAAGAUGAAAUUAGCCCUUCUCCCCCUGUACUAUAAUCUUUUUUCUUUACGAUUUUCCAGCAGAAUGACAAUCCUGUACUCUUGCUAGGAAACAAUGCUAGGAAUUAUCACAUAAGAGCUCUCUUCAUUUUAGUCCUCUUGCAAGAUAGAUGCCGUGGAUGUACACAACGAAAUUUAAAAGGCUUUUCAUCAGGUUUCAUCCUCUAUUUCUACAGUAAAUUCAACAAGCUACAGUAGUUUAAUACAGAAACGUAGAUGUACAUAAAAAGCUGGAGGGAACGGUGUAUGUUAUAAUGCUGUUAUAAAACUGUCUGCGAUAUUAACACACACUGUAUAUUAAAUACACAAAACUGUUACAAUAACUUGAAGGUUGAGACAAACUCGUGAAAACAAAUAAAUUCUUCAGGACACCAGGCAAAAGGUUGUUCUUGGCAGAAAGAUUUAAAUACAGUUAUUCAGCAGUCCAAAUUAACUCCCCCAAAUAAAAAACGUUCUUCCGCUAGUCAUGUUGAGUAAAUCCAUGCACAAAAUUCUCCAGGGAGUUUUUUCACCUUAUAUAAGUUUAGAAUCAAAAUUUAUGCUUUGGAGAGGGCAUUCUCCCUGCGUAUAGGAAGAGUAAACGGAUGUUCCGCAGAGCAGUUCAGAACUAAAGCCUAAUCCUAGUAUUCUCUGAUGCUCUGUGGAGGAGCCUUUCUCUCUCUACUGAUUAUAUGGAGAUUAAUGGCUUUAAGUUGUGCCAGGGAAAAUUCAGGUUGGACAUUAGGAAAUACUUCUCCUUCAAAAGAGUGGUCAGGUGCUGGAAUGGGCUGCCCAGGGAGCUGGUGGAAUCACCGACCCUGGAGGUAUUCAAGGAACGUUCAGACAUUGUGCUGAGGGACAUGGUUUAAUGAGAACUGUUGCUGAUGGGUGGACAGUUGGACUGGAUGAUCUCAGAGGUCUUUUCCAACCUUGGUGAUUCUAUGACUCUAUGAUUAACCUGUAAGAACUGUUAUGAGUGAAGAGUCCCAAGACAAACAGAGUAUUUGCCCUGCUAAGCUGGCAACAGUUUGCAACACUUGCAAAUGUUUGGGUUUUAUUUGAUUUUUAUUUAAGCACAAAAAAUCUUGUUAGUGGUUUUUUGUUUUGUUUUGUUAUGUACCACAAAGAGCCCAAGAAGGAAAGAAAUUCCAGUUAAAUCUGCAAGAAACAUAAACAUUACCUUUACCUGUAUUCAGACAAUGCAUUAAAAACACCACCAUCCACUAAAUGAUAUAUUUGGGGAUCUACAAUUUAAGGACUUUUAGCAAUUCAAGAUUUGUUUUAAAAUUCUCACUUUUGACUGAAAUUUCUGAGCAACAGUAAUGAGAGGGAACAUGGAAUUCUAAAACUAAAUCCGGGUAAGGUAUUUGUCUCAGAAGUAUUAUACAUCUGCAGUGAAAUGCCCACCACACAGAAGUCUGUUUUUUACAUCAACAGAGCAAAAUAGUCACUGAAUUAAUUGAGAAUCUAAGGGGAAACAUGCCACCCUAGGCUCCUUUGCCUAGACCUGUACUAACUCUACUAAAAAAGUACAGAUGAUGUCAGAGGUCUUCUUAGUCACACCAAGCCCACCCACAAGUCUACAAAAUGAGUGUCAAAAGAAAGAAACAAGCAGCUGGGAAAUGUAACCCUUCCAAACAUUCUCAAUCUCCAGAAGCCACUACAGAUUUAUACCAGUAUAAGCAAUGUAAAAAUACUUACAUUGUCUGCAUCAUGGUUUUGCUCAAUU